rnacentral:lncRNA from 13 species
AAUAUAGCGGUCCUUAGUACUUGGAAGACAUUUUUAUUUUCUCUUUUGUGCUUUUCUAGGUUCUACAAUGAACAUAUAUUACCAUUAUAAUACAAAUAGUGAUAAAUAAAAAAACACGGUAAGAGUCUCCAUAUGGACACCAGCUUUGCCUCCCUCCUUAAUGAAUCCUCCACUGAUUCCUCAAGCCUACAAUAUUCCCUCCCAGCUGAUUCCUUCAGCAGACAGCCACAAGCUCUGACUCAAAGAUGGUUUGUUGCAAAUCAGCUAGUUUAAGUAAAAGGGAUUUCUCAUAAAGACAGAUAAGAAGCAGGACACAUUUUAGGAUCUCAUCAACAGGAGUUCUUGGAUUUUAUUUAUUACUCUUAUGGUAGCCUGACUCAGCAUCCAGCUUCCUUAGUGCCUAUGUUAUUAGUUUAAGUUCUUGAACAUGUCACUGUGACUGGCCAUACAAUGGAUUGGCUGCACCUGUGUUGGUAACCAACCUGGCCCAUCACCUGUGGCUGGCUGGCUAGCUGAGAUUAAAGAAACUGUUGUUUUAUAGUGUAGAUAGUUAGGAAAAUCUACUCUCUCUGGGCUAGACUAUAUUGAGAUUUCUUUAUUUUCAAUAAGACGGAAAUUUCACUACAGCGUGAAACAAGUCAAGCAAUCACAUAACCUGCGUUCCCUAUCAAAUGCACCCUCUGAACAAUAUCUAAGUAUUACUCUACUGUUUUUCAACCUCUGCCUGAAUGAAAAAAAUCUUCAUUUUUCCUUGGACUUGGGCACGCUUCCAAUGACUGGAAGCAGACUACCAAAGGGCUACCUUGGAGCUAGAGCUUGCUUGGCCUUCGUAUGAGAGUCAAGACAUAAAUUGGACCAUAAAUUGGCCUCUGUCAGAAUCUACAUCGGAAUGACACCAAAUACAUGUCAUCAGGCUUGUGUUCCAGCUAACAGCAGGAAUCCACUGGUGCUUGUCAUCUUGAUCAAAUGUUCACCUUACUCCCUUUUCCAGCUUAUGCUUCUACUUUGAAGAAAAUACGGUAAAGACCCUGGCAAAUUUGCUGUUCUGAUUCGGCAGCAUUAUACAGCAAAAAGAAUACUGGG